GAUGAACGCUGGCGGCGUGCCUAAUACAUGCAAGUCGAGCGAACGGACGAGAAGCUUGCUUCUCUGAUGUUAGCGGCGGACGGGUGAGUAACACGUGGAUAACCUACCUAUAAGACUGGGAUAACUUCGGGAAACCGGAGCUAAUACCGGAUAAUAUUUUGAACCGCAUGGUUCAAAAGUGAAAGACGGUCUUGCUGUCACUUAUAGAUGGAUCCGCGCUGCAUUAGCUAGUUGGUAAGGUAACGGCUUACCAAGGCAACGAUGCAUAGCCGACCCGAGAGGGUGAUCGGCCACACUGGAACUGAGACACGGUCCAGACUCCUACGGGAGGCAGCAGUAGGGAAUCUUCCGCAAUGGGCGAAAGCCUGACGGAGCAACGCCGCGUGAGUGAUGAAGGUCUUCGGAUCGUAAAACUCUGUUACUAGGGAAGAACAUAUGUGUAAGUAACUGUGCACAUCUUGACGGUACCUAAUCAGAAAGCCACGGCUAACUACGUG
rnacentral:rRNA from 1 species